rnacentral:rRNA from 1 species
AAUCAACGCUGGCGGCGUGCCUCAGACAUGCAAGUCGAACGCGAAAGUUCCCUUCGGGGGGCAAGUAGAGUGGCGCACGGGUGAGUAACACGUAGGUAAUCUACCUUUGGAUGGGGAAUAACAACCGGAAACGGUUGCUAAUACCGCAUAAUGCAGCGGCACCUAAUGGUGACAGUUGUUAAAGCGGGGGAUCGCAAGACCUCGCGUCUGAAGAGGAGCCUGCGGCAGAUUAGCUAGUUGGUAAGGUAACGGCUUACCAAGGCGAUGAUCUGUAGCCGGCCUGAGAGGGCGGUCGGCCACACUGACACUGACAUACGGGUCAGACUCCUACGGGAGGCAGCAGUCGGGAAUUUUGGGCAAUGGGCGAAAGCCUGACCCAGCAACGCCGCGUGAAGGAUGAAAUCCCUCGGGAUGUAAACUUCGCAAGAACGGGAAGAAUAAGUAAGGGUUAAUAUCUCUUACGAUGACGGUACUGUUUGUAAGCUCCGGCUAACUCCGUGC